CAGUCGCCGCGGUAAUACGUAGGGUGCAAGCGUUAAUCGGAAUUACUGGGCGUAAAGCGUGCGCAGGCGGUUAUAUAAGUCAGAUGUGAAAUCCCCGGGCUCAACCUGGGAACUGCAUUUGAGACUGUAUGGCUAGAGUGUGUCAGAGGGGGGUAGAAUUCCACGUGUAGCAGUGAAAUGCGUAAAUAUGUGGAGGAAUACCGAUGGCGAAGGCAGCCCCCUGGGAUAACACUGACGCUCAUGCACGAAAGCGUGGGGAGCAAACAGGAUUAGAUACCCCCGUAGUCCCUGUCUCUUAUAC
rnacentral:rRNA from 1 species